UUAAGUUCAGCGGGUAUCCCUACCUGAUCCGAGGUCAACCUGGUGAGAAGGUUGGGGGGUCGGCGGGCGCCGGACGGGCCUCCAGAGCGGGUGACAAAGCCCCAUACGCUCGAGGACCGGACACGGUGCCGCCGCUGCCUUUCGGGCCCGUCCCACCCCGGGGGGCGGGACGGCGGCCCAACACACAAGCCGGGCUUGAU
rnacentral:misc_RNA from 1 species